rnacentral:rRNA from 1 species
CCUACGGGAGGCUGCAGUGGGGAAUAUUGCGCAAUGGGGGAAACCCUGACGCAGCGACGCCGCGUGAGCGAAGAAAGCCUUAGGGUUGUAAAGCUCUGUUGUAAGGGAAGAAGUUCUUGAGCAAUAAUACAGCUUGAGAGUGACGGUACCUUACUAGAAAGCCCCGGCUAACUACGUGCCAGCAGCCGCGGUAAGACGUAGGGGGCGAGCGUUGUCCGGAAUUACUGGGCGUAAAGAGCACGUAGGCGGAUAUUUAAGUCAGAUGUGAAAGACCGCAGCUCAACUGCGGGGUUGCAUUUGAAACUGGGUAUCUAGAGAGCAGGAGAGGGAAGUGGAAUUCCUAGUGUAGCGGUGAAAUGCGUAGAGAUUAGGGGGAACACCAGUGGCGAAGGCGGCUUCCUGGCCUGUAACUGACGCUGAGGCACGAAAGCGUGGGUAGCGAACAGGAUUAGAUACCCUGGUAGUCAC